rnacentral:rRNA from 1 species
UGGGGAAUCUUCCGCAAUGGACGAAAGUCUGACGGAGCAACGCCGCGUGAGUGAUGACGGCCUUCGGGUUGUAAAGCUCUGUUAAUCGGGACGAAUGGUUCUUGUGCGAAUAGUGCAAGGAUUUGACGGUACCGGAAUAGAAAGCCACGGCUAACUACGUGCCAGCAGCCGCGGUAAUACGUAGGUGGCAAGCGUUGUCCGGAAUUAUUGGGCGUAAAGCGCGCGCAGGCGGAUUGGUCAGUCUGUCUUAAAAGUUCGGGGCUUAACCCCGUGAUGGGAUGGAAACUGCCAAUCUAGAGUAUCGGAGAGGAAAGUGGAAUUCCUAGUGUAGCGGUGAAAUGCGUAGAUAUUAGGAAGAACACCAGUGGCGAAGGCGACUUUCUGGACGAAAACUGACGCUGAGGCGCGAAAGCCAGGGGAGCGAACGGGAUUAGAUACCCCGGUAGUCCUGGCCGUAAACGAUGGGUACUAGGUGUAGGAGGUAUCGACCCCUUCUGUGCCGGAGUUAACGCAAUAAGUACCCCGCCUGGGGAGUACGACCGCAAGGUUG